rnacentral:rRNA from 1 species
AUUGAACGCUGGCGGCAGGCCUAACACAUGCAAGUCGAGCGAGCGGCGGACGGGUGAGUAAUGUAUGGGGACUGCCCGAUAGAGGGGGAUAACUACUGGAAACGGUAGCUAAUAACGCAUACUAUCGGAUAACCCAUAUGGGAUUAGCUAGUAGGUGAGGUAAUGGCUCACCUAGUCGACGAUCCCUAGAUGGUCUGAGAGGAUGAUCAGCCACACUGGGACUGAGAAACGGACCAGACUCCUACGGAGGCAGCAUUGGGUAAUAUUGCAUAAUGGGCGCAAGCCUGAUGCAGCCAUGCCGCGUGUAUGAAGAAGGCCCUAGGGUUGUAAAGUACUGUCAGUCGGGAGGCGUUACCGACAGAAGAAGCACCGGCUAACUCCGUGCCAGCAGCCGCGGUAAUUC